rnacentral:rRNA from 1 species
UACAGAGACUGCAAGCGUUACUCGGAUUCACUGGGCGUAAAGGGAGCGCAGGCGGACCGGUGUGUCAGAUGUGAAACCCCAGGGCUCAACCCUGGGACUGCGUCUGAAACUGCCGGUCUAGGGACUCGGAGGGGCUAGUGGAAUUCCUGGUGGAGCAGUGAAAUGCGUAGAUAUCAGGAGGAACACCAACGGCGAAGGCAGCUAGCUGGACGAGAUCCGACGCUCAGGCUCGAAAGUAUGGGGAGCAAAAAGG